GACGAACGCUGGCGGCGUGCUUAACACAUGCCAGUCGAACGGAAAGGCCCUGCUUUUGUGGGGUGCUCGAGUGGCGAACGGGUGAGUACCACGUGAGUAACCUGCCCUUGACUUUGGGAUAACUUCAGGAAACUGGGGCUAAUACCGGUUAGGAGCUCCUGCUGCAUGGUGUGGGUUGGAAAGUUUCGGCGGUUGGGGAUGGACUCGCGGCUUAUCAGCUUGUUGGUUGGGUAGUGGCUUACCAAGGCUUUGACGGGUAGCCGGCCUGAGAGGGUGACCGGCCACAUUGGGACUGAGAUAAGGCCCAGACUCCUACGGGAGGCAGCAGUGGGGAAUAUUGCACAAUGGGCGGAAGCCUGAUGCAGCAACGCCGCGUGCGGGAUGACGGCCUUCGGGUUGUAAACCGCUGCCGCCUGUGACGAAGCGGGAGUGACGGUAAUGCGUAAAGAAGCCCCCGCUAACUACGUG
rnacentral:rRNA from 1 species